rnacentral:rRNA from 1 species
GUCCACGCCCUAAACGAUGUCUACUAGUUGUCGGGUUUUAAUUAACUUGGUAACGCAGCUAACGCGUGAAGUAGACCGCCUGGGGGAGUACGGUCGCAAGAUUAAAAACUCAAAGGAAUUGACGGGGACCCGCACAAGCGGUGGAUGAUGUGGAUUAAUUCGAUGCAACGCGAAAAACCUUACCUACCCUUGACAUGGCAGAAACCUCCGAGAGAUUGGAGGGUGCUCGAAAAGAGAAUCUGCACACAGGUGCUGCAUGGCUGUCGU